rnacentral:rRNA from 1 species
GACGAGGGGUCCAAGCGUUGUUCGGAAUCAUUGGGCGUAAAGCGGGUGUAGGCGGCUCUAUAAGUCAGAAGUGAAAGCCCCGGGCUUAACCUGGGAAGUGCUUUUGAUACUGCAGAGCUUGAAUGUGGGAGAGGGUAGUGGAAUUCCAGGUGUAGUGGUGAAAUACGUAGAUAUCUGGAGGAACACCGGUGGCGAAGGCGGCGUCCUGGACCAACACUGACGCUGAUGAGCGAAAGCCAGGGGAGCAAACGGG